rnacentral:rRNA from 1 species
CAGGCCUAACACAUGCAAGUCGAGCGGGCCUUUCGGGGUCAGCGGCGGACGGGUGAGUAACGCGUGGGAACGUGCCCUCUGGUUCGGAACAACCCUGGGAAACUAGGGCUAAUACCGGAUACGCCUCACAGCUUUGAGCUGUGGGGGAAAGGCUUGCUGCCGGAGGAUCGGCCCGCGUCUGAUUAGCUAGUUGGCGGGGUAACGGCCCACCAAGGCGACGAUCAGUAGCUGGUCUGAGAGGAUGAUCAGCCACACUGGGACUGAGACACGGCCCAGACUCCUACGGGAGGCAGCAGUGGGGAAUAUUGGACAAUGGGCGCAAGCCUGAUCCAGCCAUGCCGCGUGAGUGAUGACGGCCUUAGGGUUGUAAAGCUCUUUUCUCCGGGACGAUAAUGACGGUACCGGAGGAAUAAGCCCCGGCUAACUUCGUGCCAGCAGCCGCGGUAAU